GUGGGGAAUAUUGGACAAUGGGCGAAAGCCUGAUCCAGCCAUGCCGCGUGUGUGAAGAAGGUCUUCGGAUUGUAAAGCACUUUAAGUUGGGAGGAAGGGCAGUAAGUUAAUACCUUGCUGUUUUGACGUUACCGACAGAAUAAGCACCGGCUAACUUCGUGCCAGCAGCCGCGGUAAUACGAAGGGUGCAAGCGUUAAUCGGAAUUACUGGGAGUAAAGCGCGCGUAGGUGGUUUUGUAAGUUGGAGGUGAAAUCCCCGGGCUCAACCUGCGAACUGCCUCCAAAACUGCAUGACUAGAGUACGGUAGAGGGUAGUGGAAUUUCCUGUGUAGCGGUGAAAUGCGUAGAUAUAGGAAGGAACACCAGUGGCGAAGGCGACUACCUGGACUGAUACUGACACUGAGGUGCGAAAGCGUGGGGAGCAAACAGGAUUAGAUACCCCAGUAGUCC
rnacentral:rRNA from 1 species